AUGCAAAAAACAGCUUAACUAUUAAACGCGCAAAAUAAGUGGAAAAAAAGGGGAGAAAUAGUUAAAAUGAUAUUAAGCGUUUAUAUGAAAUUAGAAUAAAAAAUAAAAACUGAAAAUAUACACAUGUUUGAUAUGUUAACAAAUAUAUAUAGUGAGAGAAUUAUUUUUUUUUAUUUGAUGUUCUACGGCUCAACAAGGCUUGAGCCUCAAUAAGUUCAACCUUUAAUUCGUUAAUUAGCUUAGAAUCUCCUGGUGAAUCAGCUUCUAAUGUUUUUAUUUGACUUUCUAGAGCUGUAACUAGUAGUUCAUAAAGUUUGCUUUCCUCCAUUUUAAUUAAAUUUGAAUAACAUGGCUUGUUUUCUUUGGGUCUUAAAUCAUGGGCAUUACCCUUUGAGUCUCUGAAAACACCAAUAUACUCAGAUAGCUGGUAAACCUUUGAAAAUCCAUCUUCAUCAACAUCAGGAGCUUCUUCCCAAUCAUCGAUAGAAACGAGCCUUAGAUUUCUUUCCUUAAGUAGUGCUUGGUAAUCAGUAUCUGGUGGAGGCCAAUCUGGGAGUGCAUGCCACCAUCUACAUAAAAUGGCAGCAACUAAUAUUUGCUUAUGGUCACGAUCUCUUCGAGGAACAUAAGCAGUAUUUUCUUCUUCGUCAGAAGAACAGUCUUGAGAAUUCGGAUCUUUUUCUACAGAAACUCGCUUCUUUUUAACAACAGAUUUUGUUUUAUUUCCAGUAUUACCUUUUGCCUUAGAUUUAGUUUUAGAACCUACAUUAGAUUUAGACUUAGUAGAAGC
rnacentral:antisense_RNA from 1 species